rnacentral:rRNA from 1 species
AUUGAACGCUGGCGGCAGGCCUAACACAUGCCAGUCGAGCGGAUGAAGGGAGCUUGCUCCUGGAUUCAGCGGCGGACGGGUGAGUAAUGCCUAGGAAUCUGCCUGGUAGUGGGGGAUAACGUCCGGAAACGGGCGCUAAUACCGCAUACGUCCUGAGGGAGAGAGUGGGGGAUCUUCGGACCUCACGCUAUCAGAUGAGCCUAGGUCGGAUUAGCUAGUUGGUGGGGUAAAGGCCUACCAAGGCGACGAUCCGUAACUGGUCUGAGAGGAUGAUCAGUCACACUGGAACUGAGACACGGUCCAGACUCCUACGGGAGGCAGCAGUGGGGAAUAUUGGACAAUGGGCGAAAGCCUGAUCCAGCCAUGCCGCGUGUGUGAAGAAGGUCUUCGGAUUGUAAAGCACUUUAAGUUGGGAGGAAGGGCAGUAAGUUAAUACCUUGCUGUUUUGACGUUACCAACAGAAUAAGCACCGGCUAACUUCGUG